GACAGAGGGGGCAAGCGUUGCUCGGAAUCACUGGGCGUAAAGGGCGCGUAGGCGGGAUGGCAAGUCGGUCGUGAAAUCCUUCGGCUCAACCGAAGAACGUCGGCCGAUACUGCCGUUCUUGAGGGAUGCAGAGGAGAUUGGAAUUCCCGGUGUAGCGGUGAAAUGUGUAGAGAUCGGGAGGAACACCGGUGGCGAAGGCGGCUCACUGGCUCGUAUCUGGCGCUCAGGCGCGACAGCGUGGGGAUCAAACAGG
rnacentral:rRNA from 1 species